UGAGGUUAUUUGUUAUUUAUUCUGUUUUCUGUUGUUGUUAUAAUAAAUGUUAUUAUAUUAAAAAAGGUCAUGACUCUAUUGUUCCUGGCAUAUCGAUCAAGCUUGGAGAAAAAACCUUCCAAAGAUCAGAAAUAAAGAAAAACAGAUUGAGGUCUAUAAAUUAUUAAGAAUUAUUAUGGAAGAGAGAGACAUUACAGAUUUUAGUAAAAUUAAGGAUAAGUUUUGUCAAAAAAUAUUGGAAGAUCCAGAUACCCAAGAAUUUGGAGAGUAUUUUACAAAAUAUUAUACCAAGAAUUGUGAAUCAUGGGCUUAUUUCUUUAGAUUAAAUUCAGGAUUAAACACUAAUAUGCACCUAGAACGGAUGCACGGCACAUUAAAACAUAUAUACCUUGGUGGAAAACGAGUCAAAAGACUAGAUAAGGCAAUAUAUGCCAUAAUGAAGUUUAUAAAAGACAGGUUAUUUGACAGAAUAAUUAUUUUAAACAAAAGUAAAAUUACCAGGAAAAUACGAGAUAUUCGUAAUAGACAUAAAAAUAGUCU